GGCUUCAUAGCUAAGUGGUAAAGCGCUUAGUUGGGGAAGCUGGUGACCUGGGUUCGAAGCCCCAUUGGGAUCA